AAUUUACAGGAUGUGUAUACUUUAAAAUAACUAUUUGGCCAUGAUACAUACAUCUUCAAAUAAUAAUAUAUCAUCACAUUGAAUGUUUAACUUUUUGUAUUUUGGCCCAGUUCACUCUCACGUAACGUUAGCUGUAAAAAUAGCCUGCUGAAGUUGAAAUGUACAUCUUCAUGACUAGAUAGACACAGGUGAGUUUCUCUUUACUACUCGUUAGGUUUCUCUAAAGAGUCACUCAAUCGGAGGUAACAUUAAUCCUGUCAGAUCGUCCAUCCAUGAGCAUAGGGUCGGCCAAUCUGACUUUGUCCGUUAAAGUUAACUUAUUUAAAUAACAAUCGCGGUCCUGCACAGUGAGUGACCUUACAUAUGCAGGUAAAAUCGGAUUUUCUCCAGCCAUUGUUAAAAAAACAAGGUAAACAAUCUUCAUAGCUAGCGUUAGUGAAGCGGUCAGGGGAAUCUUUCUGCCUCCAGCUAAGCCCCGCCCACAGAAAAACGUCACAUUGUUUACUAACAGAAAAAGGGUCUAUACGAGUGACUCUGUCUGAUUCGAUUCACUUAACCAUUCAAAUGAGUCAUUUGUUUGUGAAUCAAACUGAGCACGCUGUUGUAGCAUUAUAUCUGCUAAGACAAUUCAAUAUGUGCAAUCUGAAUUUAAUAAUAAUAUUUAUUUUGUGGUAACACUGCCGUGUAGGAAGCUCUGACAGAGAAAAACACUAUAGAUACGUAAGAGGGAGCCGUAAAAUGUAAGUGCAUCAUCUUUUGUUCUUGAAUGGAGGCCUAAUCUGUCUGCUGCACUUGAGCAGGUUCAGUUUUUAGAGUGAAUGAAAACUUUUGAAGCGUAUAUAUGCCGUGUGAUGUGAUUAAAAUCAUACUUAUUUUACUGUGGAGGGGAUUAUUAUGAGCAAACAAACUUGAAAGUUUAAUCUGAACACUAUGUAAUCUGACAUAAUUUUUUUUUUUUUUUUUACAGAAAUUCUGAGCUGCUGCAUGAACAUUCAUCAAACUUAUAAGGCUGCAAUUUGGAAAAAACUUUCAAGCUAAUGCUGCUGAAAUGGAGGUCAAGGGGACUGAAGAGGUGGCUCCAGCUGAUCAAAAGAGAGGACUUCAGGAGGCAGACACACUCUGUUACAGUAAUCAGCUGAUCCAGCCGUAUCCAGACCAGAUGGUGGACCAGCACCCAGAAACGACCACAACACAUCCCUGACUGUCAGCGGAGACCAUGUCAGCUAGAUGACAGAUCCCUGUGAAGACCUCAUUGAUGGCCCCAGCACAGAUCCUCAGCAAAGACUACGAGAACAAGACAAGCCCUCUGCACAGACCCUUUUUACCAGCUUUACCUGCUAGCGUGAUAUUACUUCAUGCAGAAGAAGUUGGAUGAAAUAUUCUGAAUGAUAUCAAUCCACAAUCUGACAGAGCCUGGAAUAAUCACACCACGUUCAUUCAUUUGGCCAGACGAGACUGUUUCUGACUGAGCCGGGUCUUGUUUGGGUUCCUUGUCACUGUUGCUUGGUUGAAGACGCCUAAUAUUCAGCAAUAUUAUUGACUGCACUGACACCAUUUGAUAAGAA